rnacentral:rRNA from 1 species
GGAUGAGAUAGCCGCAAGUCUGAUGGAGCAACGCCGCGUGAGUGAAGAAGGGUUUCGGCUCGUAAAGCUCUGUUGGUAGUGAAGAAAGAUAGAGGUAGUAACUGGCCUUUAUUUGACGGUAAUUACUUAGAAAGUCACGGCUAACUACGUGCCAGCAGCCGCGGUAAUACGUAGGUGGCAAGCGUUGUCCGGAUUUAUUGGGCGUAAAGCGAGUGCAGGCGGUUCAAUAAGUCUGAUGUGAAAGCCUUCG